GGCCGAGCCGCGCCGCCAAGCCCACCGUCGCCGUCCCGUUCGUCCAACUCCCCCGGGCCGCGCGGUCCCAGCUCAGCCGGCCGGCGGGGCUCACUUCCACGUUGGCCAACGGCCGUGAGGUGAAAGGGGAGCGUCGCCUCCGAAAAGAUGUCAAUUAUAGUCACAUAUCUUUGGAAACAUGGAGCAAACAUAUCUUUGAUACACAUGGAGCAAAUCAACAAAGCUAAGUCUAGCUGAUGACUCCUAAUCGGGCAAAAGGCUUCUGUAACGCUAAAGCAUGGCCAUAUAACCAGUUCUAGCUGAUGAUACUGAAGAAGAGACCACUGCACAAACACGCGGAUGACAGCCAACACCUCAAGUAUGGAAGAAAGAGAGAUAGAAAAAGCCUGGGUGCCUUAUUACUACUAACAAUAGGAAUGCUGAACACCGUUUAAGAUUCCUUUGCAGUUAUUUUUGUUCUUAGAAUAUAUCCCACUAGGACUGCACGGUCUAAUUACUGUAUUUUAAAGUCACAUACAUAUUUUUUCCCUGUAUCAUUAAAUUACCAAUUUGAUAUACAGUUAGGGUCAUUUGUUUGUUUUUGUUUUCAAUUUUUAGGGAUUUUCCCCCAUUUUUAUUUAGUUUUCUAUUUACAUUUUCACGGUUCCAAAGUCAAAAAUAUAAAACAGGGAAGAGUUAAGAAGCCUAAGACCCACCUCUGAUUCGAUCAACCUACAAACAAGUAACAAUUUAUAUUAGUUUUUAAAAAUAUAAGCCAAAGCGUAUUCAAUUUCUUAGAUAAAAGGAAGCAUACUCUACACACUGCUGUGCAUCGUGCCUUUUCACUCAGCGGUAUGUCUUGGAGAUUACUUCAUAGCAUGGUCUUUCUCAAUCCUUUGAGGAAUACUCCACUGCAUGAUGGGGUGAACAUGCCAUAAUUUCUUCACUCAGUUCCCAGACGAUGAAUAUUAAAAUUGUCUCCAAUAUUUUACAAAUAGACUUCCAGCAAAAAAGCA